UUCUCUCUCUCACUCCAUACGGCCGCUGAGUUAACUCUUCUCAUUUCAAAUUAACUCAUUUCUCUCCCUCCAAAACCAAACGAAGCCCUGCUUUUAGAUCAACUCCUCUUUCCACAACCAAAUGAAAUCAAACCCUAAGAGAAAGAAGAAAAAGCUGUAAUGAGGCCAACAAAAGCAUAAAUAAGCGACAUUCUUCUAUCAAUGAAGUAUAUCCUCGAAAAGGUGGAGAGAAUGCUAAACGAAACAAUAGUAGGGGCAAUUGUGUAAUCUUUUGGUAAAGGCACUUCCUUCUACGUGAUUCAGAUCGAACUUGUAUAAUUCGGGCUCAUUUAUUGGAUUGUUUUGGCAUUGUUAAGGGUUGCAAAAGAUCUUUAUGCUAUUGUGAUUGCACCCAGAGAGAGUCAAGAGAGCCGUUCCAGUUGCUAGCUUCUUCUUCGAAGUAUUAAAUCAUUUAUUGUUCUGAUGGAUCCUUCGACAAUGUCUAUUGAUUGAGAAUCUGCUCUUCUUAAAUAUGAUACCAUUCUUCCAAGCAGAAGUGAGGCAUACAAUGCAUUCAUUCGCCAACAACGAAAUCAAAGACAGUGGGAUUGGAGAAAUCGAGUCAAAGCUGGACGAAUUGAUUCUCGAAAAAGGGUAACUGACACAGUAUUAUCCGAAAAUACUAAUUUCAGUUCUGCCCAUGUGAAUGAAGCAGUAAUAUAUCAUGAUUUCGAGGCUUCUACUUCAAACCAAGAAGCGACUGAUGUUUCUAAAUGUGUAAAACUUAUGAACAUACCAAAUACUGCAUAUGUAUUACUGACAUGUACCUAUUGUAAAUAUUGUGGUGCAUGAAAAUUUCAUAGAGAAAAUAAAUGUUUUUGUUGCUCAGAUGGAAAAGUUAAACUUUGUAUGCUUGAUUCACCAGCUGAACUAUAUACUUUGUUUACUUCUAAAGAA